ensembl:ncRNA lncRNA:CR44407 long non-coding RNA:CR44407
CAAUGAUCGGAGUACCAAAAAAUGUGAGAUACAAGGGUAUUUGAAACAAGUAAGCUGAGUAUAAGCAUAUUGAAACCUGUUAUUUUGCAACUAGUUCAACAACUGUUGAACAUUUAAGGACCUCGAUUCGCAAAACCGACAUAUUGAACACAUCCCCCAACAAUUUGCAUUUCUUUAUGGCCCUCAGAAGUAUUUUCUAGCCAAACUGCCCAACUCCCCCACUCUCGUUACGCAAUGCAAACAGCUUCCAACUAGUGCUCGACUCUGGCUGCUUUAUGUCUUUCCAUUAUUGAUGACUUAAUUCCGCUUGAUUUAUUGAGGCCACAAACAGCCGGUCAGCGAGCCAUGUUUUGCAAUGGCCGGAACCAGGAGUCAGGACCUGGCCGGGAUACCCAUUUGGUAUGCACACGUACUGCGUACUGGGCCAAAUGGAGGCACUCGAUGGAGAGGUUGGAGCCAACAGACCUAGCAUCUGUGCUUGGCCAGAACGUGUUUAAUAAAUAAGCCCAGUUAAUAUGGCGCAAAAAGUUUCGGGCCAAAGCAAUGUAAGCAGAACCCAUAUAUUGUAGAAUAUAAUCACUCGCACAUAGAAAAAAAUUCAUUUUAAUAUACUGAGCCCUUUGAAUUCAAUAU